AUUAUUAGAAAUGAAAUGUUAUUCGUUUAUAAAGAUAUCUAGUUUUUUUAGAAAUAAAUUUAAUUUAAAAGUUUUUAAUUUUAUUAAUUAUUUAUGUUAAUUAAUAAAUUUAUAAAUUUUAAUAUUUUAAGGGAUAAGCUUUAAAAUAAAUUUUUAAAAAUUAAUAAAUGAUAAUUAAAAUUAUAUACAUAGAAUUAGUAAUUAUUAAAAAAUUUGUUAUAAAUUAUUUUAUAAUAUAUAUAUUAUUUAUUAUAAUUUUAAAUUUUUUAUAAAAAUAUAUUUUUUAAUUUUCUUUAAAAAGUAAUAAUGAUAAAAUUAGUAUAUUUUUAUAUUAUAUGUAUAUAUAAUUUAUUUUGAUAAGUUUAUAUAAAGAAUUCGGCAAAUAUUUCUCGCCUGUUUAACAAAAACAUGUCUUUUUGUGUUAUUUUAAAAGUCUAACCUGCCCAAUGAAUAAAUUAAAUGGCCGCAGUAUUUUGACUGUGCAAAGGUAGCAUAAUCAUUAGUCUUUUAAUUGAAGGCUUGAAUGAAUGGUUGGACGAAGUAUAAUCUGUUUCAUUUAAAUUUAUUAUAGAAUUUUAUAUUUUAGUAAAAAAGCUAAAAUAUUUUUAAAAGACGAGAAGACCCUAUAAAUCUUUAUAAUUUAUAUAUUAUUUUUAUUUUUUAUAUUUAUUUUAUUUAAAUAAUUUUAAUUAUUUUGUUGGGGUGAUAUUAAAAUUUAAUAAACUUUUAAUUAAUUAUUUCAUUAAUUUAUGUUUUAUUGAUCCAUUAAUAAUGAUUAAAAGAAUAAGUUACUUUAGGGAUAACAGCGUAAUUUUUUUGGAGAGUUCUUAUUGAUAAAAAAGUUUGCGACCUCGAUGUUGGAUUAAGAUAUAAUUUUAGGUGUA
rnacentral:rRNA from 1 species